rfam:Oryza barthii chromosome 1, whole genome shotgun sequence.
AAUAAGUGUAGUUUUGCACUAUUCAUGUCCAACGUUUGACCGUUCGUCUUAUUUGAAAUUUUUUUGUGAUUAAUAUUUUUAUUGUUAUUAGAUGAUAAAACAUGAAUAAUACUUUAUGGGUGACUAUUUAUUUUUAGUUUUUUUUCAUAAAUUUUUUAAAUAAGACGAACGGUCAAACGUUGGACACGGAUCUCCACGACUGCACUUAUU